UUCGGUCUUUAGAGCGGUCUGGAACUACCUUUUUCCAUUCCGAACAAAGUCGUAAAACGGACCAGCGUUGACGAUACUAGGACUCGUUCCUGGGACAAUAGAUCAAGGCCGAGG
rnacentral:rRNA from 8 species